rnacentral:rRNA from 2 species
UUGAUUGGUGCUUGCAUCAUGAUUUACAUUUGAGUGAGUGGCGAACUGGUGAGUAACACGUGGGAAACCUGCCCAGAAGCGGGGGAUAACACCUGGAAACAGAUGCUAAUACCGCAUAACAACUUGGACCGCAUGGUCCGAGUUUGAAAGAUGGCUUCGGCUAUCACUUUUGGAUGGUCCCGCGGCGUAUUAGCUAGAUGGUGAGGUAACGGCUCACCAUGGCAAUGAUACGUAGCCGACCUGAGAGGGUAAUCGGCCACAUUGGGACUGAGACACGGCCCAAACUCCUACGGGAGGCAGCAGUAGGGAAUCUUCCACAAUGGACGAAAGUCUGAUGGAGCAACGCCGCGUGAGUGAAGAAGGGUUUCGGCUCGUAAAACUCUGUUGUUAAAGAAGAACAUAUCUGAGAGUAACUGUUCAGGUAUUGACGGUAUUUAACCAGAAAGCCACGGCUAACUACGUGCCAGCAGCCGCGGUAAUACGUAGGUGGCAAGCGUUGUCCGGAUUUAUUGGGCGUAAAGCGAGCGCAGGCGGUUUUUUAAGUCUGAUGUGAAAGCCUUCGGCUCAACCGAAGAAGUGCAUCGGAAACUGGGAAACUUGAGUGCAGAAGAGGACAGUGGAACUCCAUGUGUAGCGGUGAAAUGCGUAGAUAUAUGGAAGAACACCAGUGGCGAAGGCGGCUGUCUGGUCUGUAACUGACGCUGAGGCUCGAAAGUAUGGGUAGCAAACAGGAUUAGAUACCCUGGUAGUCCAUACCGUAAACGAUGAAUGCUAAGUGUUGGAGGGUUUCCGCCCUUCAGUGCUGCAGCUAACGCAUUAAGCAUUCCGCCUGGGGAGUACGGCCGCAAGGCUGAAACUCAAAGGAAUUGACGGGGGCCCGCACAAGCGGUGGAGCAUGUGGUUUAAUUCGAAGCUACGCGAAGAACCUUACCAGGUCUUGACAUACUAUGCAAAUCUAAGAGAUUAGACGUUCCCUUCGGGGACAUGGAUACAGGUGGUGCAUGGUUGUCGUCAGCUCGUGUCGUGAGAUGUUGGGUUAAGUCCCGCAACGAGCGCAACCCUUAUUAUCAGUUGCCAGCAUUAAGUUGGGCACUCUGGUGAGACUGCCGGUGACAAACCGGAGGAAGGUGGGGAUGACGUCAAAUCAUCAUGCCCCUUAUGACCUGGGCUACACACGUGCUACAAUGGAUGGUACAACGAGUUGCGAACUCGCGAGAGUAAGCUAAUCUCUUAAAGCCAUUCUCAGUUCGGAUUGUAGGCUGCAACUCGCCUACAUGAAGUCGGAAUCGCUAGUAAUCGCGGAUCAGCAUGCCGCGGUGAAUACGUUCCCGGGCCUUGUACACACCGCCCGUCACACCAUGAGAGUUUGUAACACCCAAAGUCGGUGGG